UACGAAGGUGGCAAGCGUUGUUCGGAUUCACUGGGCGUACAGGGUGUGUAGGCGGUUUGGUAAGCCUUCUGUUAAAGCUUCGGGCCCAACCCGGAAAGCGCAGAGGGUACUGCCAGGCUAGAGGACGGGAGAGGAGCGCGGAAUUCCCGGUGUAGUGGUGAAAUGCGUAGAUAUCGGGAGGAACACCAGUGGCGAAGGCGACUACCUGGCCUGUUCUUGACGCUGAGGCGCGAAAGCUAGGGGAGCAAACGGG
rnacentral:rRNA from 1 species